rnacentral:rRNA from 1 species
AUUGAACGCUGGCGGUGUGCUUAACACAUGCAAGUCGAACGGUAACAGGCCUUCGGGCGCUGACGAGUGGCGGACGGUGAGUAACGCGUAGGAAUCUGCCUCAUAGUGGGGGACAACGUGGGGAAACUCACGCUAAUACCGCAUACGCCCUACGGGGAAAGCGGGGGAGUCUUCGGACCUCGCGCUAUGAGAUGAGCCUGCGUUAGAUUAGCUAGUUGGUAGGGUAAAGGCCUACCAAGGCGACGAUCUAUAGCUGGUCUGAGAGGACGAUCAGCCACACUGGGACUGAGACACGGCCCAGACUCCUACGGGAGGCAGCAGUGGGGAAUAUUGGACAAUGGGCGCAAGCCUGAUCCAGCAAUACCGCGUGUGUGAAGAAGGCCUUAGGGUGUAAGCACUUUCAAUUGGGAGGAAACCUGCCGGUCAAUACCCGGUAGCUUGACAUUACCUUUAGUAAGAAGCACCGGCUAACU